UGCAUGCUUCCAGAAUUUGGUUUUUAUUGUUUUUUCAUUUUCUCUAUUUUCUCUAGUUCUUCCUUUUCCUGUUAUUCAUUCUCCAAGUCCUGUUCCCACAUAUCCUCGCUUUUUUUGUACCACCCCUUCCUAUUUCUCUAGACCUUUGUGGAGAGACACAACUUUCUUUGCUCUUUCAUCACAGAAAUGUCAUGAAAUUCUGCUCCAAAUUCCCUUAAACUAUGUGUAACGGAUUGCCCUGGCUCCAGGGAACACACCAGUGAGAGGCACGGAAUGACUCGGAGUUGUGAGCAUGAAAGAGGAUGGGUUAUGCUCUCUCUUAGGUCCAUUCCACUCUUAGGACGCCGUGAUUCCAUGAAGAGAUACUCCUGGGGUAGGAAGUGAAUGAUGUUUGUUCAAGCCACAUGGUUACUUUUGGAAUGGCCUGCUAGAUUUAGAAUGAGUGAUGGAGAGUAUGCCGUUGAUGUGCCAACAGUUACUCCUGUUAAGAGCUUUAUGACUCGCUAAUGCAGAAAUGACAGCAGAAUUCCUAUUGUUUUAUGUCAAGAGCAUCUGCCAACAUUUGCAGUGAUAACAGCCCUGAGAGAUACCGAAAUGUGAGACUCAGAUGUGGCAAGUUUCCUCAGUACAUGCGGGCAGAAGAUCAAGGACUGGGGCCGGCUGCUGCAUGUUCUAAGGGAGGCCUCACCAGUGACUGCGGCUUUUCUUUCUGAGACCUCUCUGCAAACCGCCUCCACCCCAUCGCAUUCCCAAUGCCCUACAAUUUCCUUCCUACUUUCUUGUUCACUUCUAAGGCUCUUUGAUAAGUAGGCUAAUAUUUCUAGUGGACUUAAUAUAUCAUUAAAUAGGUUUUAAAUGUAAAAAUUGCGCUACCUGGACCUACCCCUUCUUAAGAACCAGGUCCGCUGACCCUCUGAGAAAGAUUAUUGAGUAAAAAUGUUAGGUGAGUUAAAAUAAUUUAAUAAUAAAAAAAUACCACUGCCCCCAUGCCACUGUAUUCUUUUCCUUUCUCUAUCAAAACAAACAAACAAACAAACAAACAAAACUGCAAUAGGACUCACCGCACCUAACACUGGUGAUAUUUUUAACACACUUUGUACAUACUUGGACUCACUUUAAUUUUUAAUUCUUUCAGAUGGGAAACUUCCUGAAAUUCAGUAAAACACAACUGCAUGAAAUCCCCUUCAAGAAAUUAUUCCAAAGGAGUUGAAUGCGUGCUCUGUCAUAUACCUAGAGCUGGAUCUGCUAGGAAAUGAACUGACUACAUUUUCAUUUACAGCUUCUCCAACUCAAGCAGAGACGAUUUAUCCUCUCCUUCACUCUUAGCAGUUUAUCUAAUGCUGAAGAACACAUAGACAGAUAGGAUCUCUUUGAACUAUCUUCGAUUAUACUGUCAAUUCAUACCAUUAUUUAAAUAACACAAUUUUAUUAUUUUAAAAAUUG